rnacentral:rRNA from 1 species
UGCGAGUCUUUGCAGUAAUGCAAGGCAUACGGCUCAGUAACACGCAGUCAGCUUACCCUAUGGACGAGGAUAAUCUCGGGAAACUGAGCAUAAUACUCGAUAGAUCAUAAUGCCUGGAGUGGUUUAUGGUUGAAAUGAUUCGUCGCCAUAGGAUGGGACUGCGGCCUAUCAGCUUGUUGGUGAGGUAAUGGCCCACCAAGGCGAUUACAGGUACGGGCUCUGAGAGGAGAAGCCCGGAGAUGGGUACUGAGACAAGGACCCAGGCCCUAUGGGGCGCAGCAGGCGAGAAAACUUUGCAAUGUGCGAAAGCACGACAAGGUUAAUCCGAGUGAUUUCUGCUAAAGAAAUCUUUUGCAAGUCAUAAAACCACUAGUGAAUAAGGGGUGGGCAAGUUCUGGUGUCAGCCGCCGCGGUAAAACCAGCACCUCAAGUGGUCAGGAGGAUUAUUGGGCCUAAAGCAUCCGUAGCCGGCUCCGUAAGUUUCCGGUUAAAUCCAUGUGCUCAACGCAUGGGCUGCCGAAAACACUGCAUAGCUAGGGAGUGGGAGAGGUAGACGGUACUCGGUAGGAAGGGGUAAAAUCCUUUGAUCUAUCGAUGACCACCUGUGGCGAAGGCGGUCUACCA